rnacentral:rRNA from 1 species
UACGUAGGGUGCAAGCGUUAAUCGGAAUUACUGGGCGUAAAGCGUGCGUAGGCGGCUUUGCAAGACAGAUGUGAAAUCCCCGGGCUCAACCUGGGAACCGCAUUUGUGACUGCAGGGCUAGAGUACGGUAGAGGGGGAUGGAAUUCCGCGUGUAGCAGUGAAAUGCGUAGAUAUGCGGAGGAACACCGAUGGCGAAGGCAAUCCCCUGGACCUGUACUGACGCUCAUGCACGAAAGCGUGGGGAGCAAACAGG